GCUAAACGCGAAGAACCUUACCCAGGCUUGACAUGCAGUAGACAGCGCUAGAGAUAGCGCCUUCCUUCGGGACUGCUGCACAGGUGCUGCAUGGCUGUCGUCAGCUCGUGCCGUGAGGUGUUGGGUUAAGUCCCGCAACGAGCGCAACCCUUAUCGUUAGUUGCCAACAUUUUAGGUGGGAACUCUAGCGAGACUGCCCGGGUUAACCGGGAGGAAGGUGAGGAUGACGUCAAGUCCGCAUGGCCCUUAUGCCUGGGGCUACACACGUGCUACAAUGGUCGGUACAAAAGGCAGCCAAACCGCGAGGUGGAGCAAAUCCCAAAAAGCCGGCCCAGUUCAGAUUGUAGUCUGCAACUCGACUGCAUGAAGUUGGAAUCGCUAGUAAUACGCGAAUCAGAAUGUCGCGGUGAAUACGUUCCCGGGUC
rnacentral:rRNA from 1 species